rnacentral:rRNA from 1 species
UACGUAGGGUGCAAGCGUUAAUCGGAAUUACUGGGCGUAAAGCGCGCGUAGGCGGCUUUGUAAGUUAGAGGUGAAAGCCCGGGGCUCAACUCCGGAAUUGCCUUUAAGGCUGCAUCGCUAGAAUCGUGGAGAGGUAAGUGGAAUUCCGAGUGUAGAGGUGAAAUUCGUAGAUAUUCGGAAGAACACCAGUGGCGAAGGCGACUUACUGGACACGUAUUGACGCUGAGG